rnacentral:lncRNA from 1 species
AUUCAUAAGUCUUUUUUCUAGCUUUUUGUUUCUAAAAUAGUUAUUUCUUUAUUUUUUAUUUUAAACGUAACACUAAAAUAGUGACUAAAGUUAAUUUUAACCUUAUUAUAAAAAAAAAAAAAAUCCACUAUAUAUGCACUUAGAAUUAUUACUACUUAGAAUUAAUCUUAACAAUAAUGGACAGAAAAUUAUUUUCACAUAAUGGUAGCAAUAACGAGGCAGGCUCCACUUCUCAGAGUGAACACUUGUACAAUGAAUCUUCUUUCAGUUAUUCUGUUCUGUGUCUCAACCGCUGCUGUCUUUGGGAAUGUCAUUAAACCAAACAAAACAGAUGUUUUUGCUGAGGAAGGUUCAAGUGUUACAUUGUCUUGUAAUUAUACUGCAUCUGGAGUUAAUGAUUAUCUCUACUGGUACCGUCAGUAUGGAAGAUCAAAACCUGAAUUUCUAGUACUUACCUACAGUAGUGCAAAAGGAGCUAAAGAGUCUGAUGUAGAUCCAAGAUUCACUGUUAACAAUACAAAAAAAGAUCAUGUGGAUCUGAAGAUCUCCUCUGCUGCUGUAUCAGACUCUGCUCUGUACUACUGUGCUCUGCAGCCCACAGUGUCAGGAAACACAUCAGCUCUCUACAAAAACCUGUUACAAUGAGAGACAAGAGACAAACAGAGAGAAAAAUUGUGAGGUCGAAGCUGGUAUAUACAGCUAUGAUUUAGAUUCAGUACUUUUUGUUAUUUAUUUUGCACAUAGUUGGUAUACAAAUGUUUCCUAAUCUAAAGCAAAGAAGAAGAAGAAAGGAUAAAAAAAAAUAAUGUAACAUUCUAAAGUGAGUCGAAUUCUUUUUAAUCUUCCAAACAAUGAAGCGUCACUGUUUUGUUUAUGCAAUAUUUGCCGUUAACCAUAAGAGGGCAGUAUGUACUCAUUAUUAACUGUGAGAAUACAGCAAGUUCACUGCUUUAUCUUCAAGGUGUAUUCAACAUUGACACAGCCGAGUCACACAGGUUGGGAAUAUAAUGUGAUUGAUCAGCCAGACAUGCAACUGAAACUGAAGGAAGAUCAGUAAUAUAUAAAACCAAUUCAGAACUAAAAGUCUUUUUUCUGGUACUUUUUGAACAAUUAUAUGAAAUAUGGUGGGGGAAAAAAAGUUAUCAAACAAAUUUUAAAUGAUAUACAAUAUACAAUAAAGCAUAUGAAUGAAAGUGAACAGCAGCAGGAAGUUCAGAG